GACAGAGGCAUACAGAAGAUAUGUGGAGCAUGAAGCAGCCAGGAGAGCAGCAUAUGGAAGCAGAAAGAAGAAGCAUUGGCCGAAUAGGCUCCUUUGACCACAGACUGAUAUUGGACUCUUGGGAUACUGAGAAUAACGCAGGGAAUGACAAGAAGACCAAAGUUCUAUAAUUACAACCCCAGGGAACACCGGACCACAUCCUUCAUUCGUCUCUAUUUCUGACACCAUCAAAAUAUGUUCAAGGUUUGAUCCUGACUGAAAGGAAGCUCUGGAUUGAAAAGAACCACUCCAUUCUUGAUCGACAGGGAGACAUGCUGGUGCACCCUCCAGCAACUGACUCCUAGUUCUCACUGGAUUGUAGCAUUGUUUGAAGCUUUGUGUAUCUGUGUCCUUAAAAUGUU